UAAAGGUUUGGUCCUAGCCUUACUAUCGGCCCUAGUUUAAUCUACACAUGCAAGUAUCAGCACCCCCGUGAGGAUUCCCGCAGCCUCCCGAACGGAGAUGUGGAGUUGGUAUCAGGCUCGAAAUAAAUGCCCAAAACACCUUGCUCAGCCACACCCUCAAGGGCAUUCAGCAGUGACAGACAUUAAGCCAUGAGCGAAAGCUCUACUCAGUUAAAACUAAGAGGGCUGGUUAAGCUCGUGCCAGCCGCCGCGGUUAUACGAGAAGCCCAAGUCGAUAGUCAGCGGCGUAAAGAGUGGUUAAGGGGAAAUUAAACUGAAGUAGAAACAUCACAGGACGGUAAUAUGACCACCGAGACCCGUAAGACCAACAACGAAAGUGACUUCAAUAAACCUGAGCCCACGAGAGCUGAGGAACAAACAGGGAUUAGAUACCCCCCUAUGCUCAGUCGUAAACAUUGAAUGGAUUUAACAGAUUUAUUCCGCCCGGGAACUACGAACAUUAGUUUAAAAACCAAAGGACUUGGCGGUGCUUCACACCACCUAGAGGAGCCUGUUCUGUAACCGAUACCCCCCGUUAAACCUCACCCUCCCUAGCCCCAUCCACCUAUAUACCGCCGCCGUCAGCCUACCCUGAGAAGGACUAGUAGUGCGCAAGAUUGGUUACAGCCCAAAACGUCAGGUCGAGGUGUAGUGUAUGGGAGGGGAAGAAAUGGGCUACAUUUGCUCCUGGAGCAACACGGAUGUCUCAAUGAAAAUAGAGCCUGAAGGAGGAUUUAGCAGUAAGCAGGAAGCAGAGUGUCCUGCUGAACUCGGCCCUGAAGCGCGCACAUACCGCCCGUCACCCUCACUAAGCGUUUAAUGUUCUGGUAAAUAACCCGAUUAAUUAGUUAAAGGGAGGAAAGUCGUAACAUGGUAAGCGCACCGGAAGGUGCGCUUGGACAAAU
rnacentral:ncRNA from 1 species